UUAACUCUGGCCGGUGAUGGAUGACAAGUGUGCGGAGUGGCUCCUCCUGACUGCCCCGGCCGUGACAGCCCACAGCAGAUGGUAGAUUAAUGCUCCACUCGCUCACGCAGGCUCCCUCUCCCAAACCCACACCACCCCCCCCUCCUCCCCAAGCGCUGCUUCUUUUCGUCCGCGGCAUCUCCUCGCACUCCCCGGUUCUCUAAGCGUCCCCCCUCUCUCUUUCUCCAUCGUAAGCCCGCCCCAACCAAUGGCACAAAAAAAAAACCCCACACUCACCGGGGCUGCAGCUUUUUAAUAUGGAAAUGAAGUGUUAAUAUGCUUCUAUUGAUGGAAAAUGAGCUGCCGUCCAGAAUGCGGGAUGAUGGGCAUGCAGUGCGGAGUAAAUUAGAUCCCGUGGCAACAUCCAGCGAAGGGGAGGACGACUUUUGACGGUCAACCCCUUGCAGAGGCUGCGUCUGCGCUCUUGCUCACAAUGCUAACCUGCAUAUCCCUGACAAGAGGAGUUCCUCGGUCCGAUGAAACGUUGACGACUCUUCAAUUCAGCUCAGCCUCUGAUCCGAUUUCAAGGCUCGACCGCAGGGCAUGGUGAUCCGGAACGUCUGGUCGAAGACGAGCUACGCGCCCGAGCAGGCCCAGGCGGUGGUGUCGGAUGAGGUCCCCGAUGUUGGGGAGAAAAAGCAUGAUGUUGUUGAGAGAGGCAAAGCAGCAGGAGGAGGCCAUGGGGAUCCUUCACCGGAUCUCCACGUCGCAUCGACUGGAGGAGCACAGGUGUACCGCCGAGGUCGAUGAAUGUGUCGACCUCCUCCAUAGUUUGCUGUCCACUGUGCUGGAGUUUGGUGGCGGCUCCUGGACCCACCAACUGGUUCUGUACCUUUGUCUUGGCCAUCACCAGAUGCAGCCCCGAAGGCCUCUGCCUCCAUGUGGUCGAUAUGAGACUGGAGGGGCGAGGGGUGAGUCACUGACGGGUAGCACGACAUCGUCGAUGAAGUCCCAAGUCCGUGAAUCGUACGCUGCCGGCAGGGCUGUCCAUAUUGGACUGCAACUCUACCCAUGAAACCAAUCGAUAGCCAGGCAAGAAUAACGAUGGUGUCAACACGCAUCCUUGCUGGACUCCAGACCGAGUGUGAAAUGGUUCAGACAGCUCUUGACUGACCCUCACCCUGGUGGAUGUAUUUCCGGGAUAGGUGAGUUUGUAGCACAUUAGCAUUUGCUUUUCCCGGGACAGAUAGAAGGGUGAUCCGACGGUAGCUGCUACAGUCAGCUGGUGAACCUUUGCACCUUACAAAAAUAGACAAUUGCACCAUCUCUCCAGUCCUCCGGGGCUCACUACAGGUUCCAGGCGAGGCUAUGACGAUACGUUUGAAAACAUGAAAUGUUUCGACCAAUAACGAGUCACAAUUUUAGCGUUUAAGUACCUUGUUCACAUUUAGACAGCUGGCACUUCAAAUAGAAGUCAACGGUCAAGACUAUCCAAUAAUACUGUUCAGCGUCAAUAAAUUAAGUUACUGUACCCCUUUAUUGGAAAGUCAAUCGUGGGAAAGUAGAAUGUCCACUGUUGGCUCAGACAGUUGCAGAAAUGAGUGCUGCCCUGAUGUUCAUUUUAGCAAGAAGCACCAUAUUAUUCUUUUUUUAGCAAGUCUUGGGUGACAGAUUUCCUAAUGUUCGUGGGAACGUCACUGUGGACUGCUCAGCAAGUGCCGACAUAGGAUACAAAAAUAUAAAAAAAACGAAGUGGGUGUAGAUAACUACACCCACUUCAGAAAAAAAUAUGAACGUGUUUUUUUUUACUUAAAUAAUCCCGUUUUCCUGAGCAGGUUUUCUUCAAAAAUAUAAAAAAAAACUAUCCCAGCCGGUAAGCGUGACCUGCUGUUGAGGCACGACUCGGGAGAGGUAGGUGGUGGUGGGUGCGGGAGGUCUGUGAAUGACGCACCGGACACCUUGAGACUGCACGGCACCAACUGGCCCGUCCCAGAAUAGCAACUGCACUGCAGCGCCGGUGCGGUCGCGACGCGGUGGCAAGCGGCACCGGAUGACUGGACUCAUGUUCCCGAAAGGAGGAGCUAGGUUCAAUCGCCGGUGGGCCAAUAGUUGACAAAUUGUAUUCCUCGACCGUUGUCUCGGGCAAUCCGAGAAUAAAUGACGUCGUGGUGUGCGCGUUAAGGUGCGAGAACAUCUGCUAACGCCAGGCAUUGAAGGCGAGGGCUAAAUGGUGCACAGGAGAUAGCAGUAGGGCGAUGGAUUACUGAAUCUAUCUGUGAGGACUUUUGGGUGUUAUCCCCUGUGUUUGCAUUUUUAAGUACAGCACUCUGAUUUUCUCCCACGUAUUGAAAGCUCUUUAACGAAAUUAGCCAAAAAAUGAUGUUCUCAGGCAGUUUUCCCAUCCAAGUACCACAAGCAGCUCCUGAAAAACCGUGUCUUAAGUCUCAGUGAGACUGUCCUAGCUCAGGGGCAUUGUUUGUUCUCGUGGGCACCCUCUCCUAAUGACCCAGAGUAAAAUACUUGCAAUUUUAUACUUGGAAAGUCUCCUGAGAUGGGGCAGUGACUGCACGAAAGACAGAAAUGCGAGGAUCGCAAACGCAAAAAGAGUAAUGGCAGGAUUCAAAAACAUAUGAGGAAGCGAGCGAAUCAGCUACAAGACCAAACUGAACAUGUUAAGAACAUUGGUGUUCAGUACAGCUUUGUAUGCCUGCGAGACUUGGUCAUUGAAAAAGACUGACAGAGAUCAGAUAUUGCACUUGAACUGUAUUACUACAGAAGGAUGCUGCAUCUAAGCUGGACCCAAAGAGGGAGCAACGUAGAAGUAAGAAAACAGUUGCACAUCGAAGAUGAGCUGAUGAGAAGGAAACUGACACUAUUUGGACACGUGCAGGAUGGACAAAAACAGAAAAAUGUAAAGCAUGGUGUUCGGAAAAAUGGAAGGAACCGGAAAGAGAGGAAAACCUCACAGAAAGUGGCUUGACGAUGACGACAUCAAGAGAUUGGUGCCAGAAGGAUGAGGCGCUACUUGUGCAAAGUGGCACAAGACAGAGAAAAGUGGAAAGAAAUAACGAAAUGUGCAGUGGACACCUACGGGCUAUCUGCCCAUGGAUCGUGAUGAUGAUGAUGAUGAAAAUGCAUUAUUUCAAAAGUGGCAGGCCACCUGCCUGCCAUGGUAUUAGUGUUAAAUGCAUGGCUAGAUAUUUUUUUUAAAUCUCUAAUGCUCCAAAGACCUUGCAAAUUAGCUGAUUGUAUCUCAAGUACAUUAAGCUUAUCUUUGUCGUAAACAUUCUAAAUUAAUGAAAUCAAUCAAAGAGCAUACUUAAGCUGCAAACAAUAUAAAAGGACCAUUUAUUGAACGGCAAAACGUAGUCCAAGUCAUCACAUUCACGAUUAAUACCGUAUCCUUUGUAUUAUAAUAAUGUUAAUUUAUUGGUGUUUUGCCCCAAUGCGAAUCGUAUAAUUGAAAAACGGCACAUUAGUAAGGGUCGCUAAAGGCCCUUGAAUACAUAAAUAACGAUGCAACGUCAUGGCACAGCUGACAGAGGAAGCACUGAUUGGUUUGAGGGAAUCAGGAAGGGAAGAGAGCAGGGAAAAUUGAUAAGGAGGAAGGGCACGGUUACGGGCGCCAUGGUGGUGAGAUGGUCUACCGGAGGUCAUGGGUUCGAUCCCGACCCUGACGCCUGCUGUAUAUUUAGAGUUUGCAUGUCUCUC